rnacentral:rRNA from 1 species
UACGUAGGGUGCGAGCGUUAAUCGGAUUUACUGGGCGUAAAGCGUGCGCAGGCGGCCCGUUAAGACAGGUGUGAAAUCCCUGGGCUCAACCUAGGAAUUGCGCUUGUGACUGGCGGGCUCGAGUACGGUAGAGGGGGAUGGAAUUCCUGGUGUAGCAGUGAAAUGCGUAGAGAUCAGGAGGAACACCGAUGGCGAAGGCAGCCCCCUGGGCCUGUACUGACGCUCAUGCACGAAAGCGUGGGGAGCAAACAGG